rnacentral:rRNA from 1 species
AGAACCUUACCUGGGCUUGAUAUAGUAAGAACUCUCUAGAGAUAGGUGGGUGUCAGCUUGCAGGAACUUAGAUACAGGUGCUGCACGGCUGUCGUCAGCUCGUGUCGUGAGAUGUUGGGUUAAGUCCCGCAACGAGCGCAACCCUCGUGAUUAGUUGCUAACAGUUCGGCUGAGCACUCUAAUCAGCCUGCCUUCGCAAGUAGGAGGAAGGUGAGGACGACGUCAAGUCAUCAUGGCCCUUACGUCCAGGGCUACACACGUGCUACAAUGGCUAAUACAAAGAGAAGCAAUACUGUGAAGUGGAGCAAAUCUUAAAAAUUUCUCUCAGUUCGGAUUGUAGUCUGCAACUCGACUACAUGAAGCUGGAAUCGCUAGUAAUCGUA